AGGAGGAGCAGCAGGAGGUUCGUCUGCUGG
rnacentral:ribozyme from 1 species